AAACUGAAGAGUUUGAUCCUGGCUCAGAUUGAACGCUGGCGGCAUGCCUAACACAUGCAAGUCGAACGGCAGCGCGGAGAGCUUGCUCUCUG
rnacentral:rRNA from 1 species